UACGAAGGGGGGCUAGCGUUGCUCGGAAUCACUGGGCGUAAAGCGCACGUAGGCGGGUUUUUAAGUCAGGGGUGAAAUCCUGGAGCUCAACUCCAGAACUGCCUUUGAUACUGAAGAUCUUGAGUCCGGGAGAGGUGAGUGGAACUGCGAGUGUAGAGGUGAAAUUCGUAGAUAUUCGCAAGAACACCAGUGGCGAAGGCGGCUCACUGGCCCGGUACUGACG
rnacentral:rRNA from 1 species